UCCAUCAGACACGAAGACCUAGGUGUCGCAGAAUGGAGUAGCCGUGGAGUGAAGAGUCCCAACACUAGUAUCCCAAGUCUUUGAGGUGAAAAAAUACGUUUUGCCCAAGUUUGACGUGACCGUAAACGCACCGCAGACCUACAGCGUUGCAGUUAUGGGACUGAAAGUUGAGUCUUGUGCCAAAUGUACAUAUGGCCAACCUGUACCUGGUCAAGCCUUAGUGGAAGUGUGCCGUGAUCCAUUUCCAUACAGUCUGCUUCAUAAUUUGACCGGACAGUGCCUGACUCAAAUCGCAAAGAUGAAUGCCACGGGCUAUGCCUCUCUUACUGUUGAUGCGUCAGUGUUUUUCAACACCAAAUUUGAAGACCAAA